rnacentral:rRNA from 1 species
UGUGAACCAUACCAAACUGUUGCCUCGGCGGGGUCACGCCCCGGGUGCGUCGCAGCCCCGGAACCAGGCGCCCGCCGGAGGGACCAACCAAACUCUUUCUGUAGUCCCCUCGCGGACGUUAUUUCUUACAGCUCUGAGCAAAAAUUCAAAAUGAAUCAAAACUUUCAACAACGGAUCUCUUGGUUCUGGCAUCGAUGAAGAACGCAGCGAAAUGCGAUAAGUAAUGUGAAUUGCAGAAUUCAGUGAAUCAUCGAAUCUUUGAACGCACAUUGCGCCCGCCAGUAUUCUGGCGGGCAUGCCUGUCCGAGCGUCAUUUCAACCCUCGAACCCCUCCGGGGGGUCGGCGUUGGGGAUCGGGAACCCCUAAGACGGGAUCCCGGCCCCGAAAUACAGUGGCGGUCUCGCCGCAGCCUCUCCUGCGCAGUAGUUUGCACAACUCGCACCGGGAGCGCGGCGCGUCCACGUCCGUAAAACA